GACGAACGCUGGCGGCGUGCCUAAUACAUGCAAGUAGAACGCUGAAGGAGGAGCUUGCUUCUCUGGAUGAGUUGCGAACGGGUGAGUAACGCGUAGGUAACCUGCCUGGUAGCGGGGGAUAACUAUUGGAAACGAUAGCUAAUACCGCAUAAUAGUAGAUGUUGCAUGACAUUUGCUUAAAAGGUGCAAUUGCAUCACUGCCAGAUGGACCUGCGUUGUAUUAGCUAGUUGGUGGUGUAACGGCUCACCAAGGCGACGAUACAUAGCCGACCUGAGAGGGUGAUCGGCCACACUGGGACUGAGACACGGCCCAGACUCCUACGGGAGGCAGCAGUAGGGAAUCUUCGGCAAUGGACGGAAGUCUGACCGAGCAACGCCGCGUGAGUGAAGAAGGUUUGCGGAUCGUAAAGCUCUGUUGUAAGAGAAGAACGAGUGUGAGAGUGGAAAGUUCACACUGUGACGGUAUCUUACCAGAAAGGGACGGCUAACUACGUG
rnacentral:rRNA from 1 species